GGAUGACUAGCCCAAUUGGUUAGAGCGGGACCCUUAUGAAGUUUAGGUUGGUGGUUCAAGUCCACCGUCAUCCA
rnacentral:tRNA from 1 species